rnacentral:rRNA from 1 species
UACAGAGGUCUCAAGCGUUGUUCGGAUUUAUUGGGCGUAAAGGGCGCGUAGGCGGCGGGGUAAGUCGGGUGUGAAAUCUCAGGGCUCAACCCUGAAACUGCACUUGAUACUGCUCUGCUUGAGGACUGGAGAGGAGACUGGAAUUCACGGUGUAGCAGUGAAAUGCGUAGAUAUCGUGAGGAAGACCAGUGGCGAAGGCGGGUCUCUGGACAGUUCCUGACGCUGAGGGCGCG